GGCGGUUCUUGGGUGAUGCACCCCGGAAUUGGGCUCCCUCCUCUCUGGUUCUGGGUGUGUCACCCAAGAACCGUA
rfam:Myotis lucifugus cont2.48031, whole genome shotgun sequence.